GCAAUUUUUCGAUAGCAUGUAUGUUAUAAUGUGUUGCUAACCCCAGUGGCGCCAUCAUGUUAACAUUUAUAGAAUUUUCUGUUAUUGAGUUUUGUAUACACAGGUUUAUAAAUGAUCGACGAUUGUAGGUAGGCUAAACUAUUCAGUUUGCUGAGUUACUAAAAAUUACUUUACAUAUCACUAUGUCAUGUUCACGCUAUCGUGUGGGUGCCUUAUUUGCGUCUAUUGUCGCGUUUUUUCUGACGGUUGUAGGAACGGCUACUAAAACUUGGCAUAAGGACGGGUUGAACAAAGAGCUGUGGAAACCGUAUUAUAAGGAUGAAGAUAAUUAUGAUUUUUCAGGUAUACCAGUAUCAACACAAGUAUGUCUAGGCAUGGGCAUAAUGAUUGGCGUUCUUAGUUUUGUACUCAUCAUAAUCGUGUUGUGUAAACAAACUAAAGGGAUGCAGAUUUCAUCCGCCUUGAGUGGUAUUUUAGCUGGCGUAUCAAUAUGCAUUGGUGUUGGUAUUCUGGCCCCCUACUUAUCUCCUCGCUAUGGAUAUUCGUUUUACGUGGCAUUGUCUGGUGGAAUUCUGUAUGCGGUAUCUGGCAUUCUGGUGCUAGUUGAUAUGAGAAUGGACCCUAAUCAAUAAUGGUAGUUUUUCAUCAAAUAUUACUACAUAUGGCGUCCUUUUUUGCGUUAUGUUCCACCAAAAUUAUACUGUGUCCAUAUAUCACCGGGGACCACGAGACAUUUGCAGCUUUAAUUGCAUUUUACUCUAAAAAUUAUAUUUGAUAUUUUGCUCUAAACAUUCUCUUUCAUAUUGACAAUUCAUAUUUUCAAAUGGAAUUAAGAUAUUUUCAGAGCAAAAAGUUAUAAAAACUACAAAAUGUUCCCUUAAAGUCACCAUGGCUCAGUGAGUAAGGUGCUAGCUAACCAGGCGGUUCGGUGAACAGUCGCGGUGUUCAAUUGCUCUGUUGGCCGAGAUUUUCCGGCUUGAUUUCCCUCUUGUCUUUGGUGCCAGGCAGAGAAACUCACAAACAAAAGUGCACAGUUGGUAUGCACGCACAUGUUGGCAUGCAGGUAAGAGAGCUCAUCCUAUUUAAAAUUCUACGAAAAGUAAUCCGGCUCGCAGUGUCACAUUUCCCUUAUAACACACUACGUGGCGUAUAUCCGUCAUGGGUAAAUAAUUUUAUUUCGCUCCCUAGAUCCCCAAAGGGUGUUUUUAGGUAGCUAUGGAUAUAUCUAUGAUCGUAUUGUUUGACGGGAGCCGCGGUGGCUCAGUGAAUAAGACGUUGGAUCGCUAAUCUGGAGAUCCCGUGUAGGAAGAAAACGUUCAUUAGGGUUUUACGGAGUGGACAGAACAGUAGGACGUUAUACUCUAUUUGAUUUCAUUUUCGUAUUGUUGGGCACUUCCUGUGGUGGCUACUAGUAUGGAAGUCGAUAAGCACCCCUUCGCUCCUUCGCUUUGCGUUAACUAACUUAAGGUGAAGGCCCCUAAUCUUCCUUCGCUUAGUAGUGAAUCGAAGCCGCAAUGGGGCGAGAUUAGGACUAUUCGUCGCAUUAUGUUAAUGCGAAGGAUUAAUGGAUUAAUUAUUUUCUAAAGAGUUGUACAGUUAAAUAUUUCAUAACGUUGUGUAAUGUUCUAAAUAUCUGUUAUAUUUUGUGAUAAUAUAAUUUUUUAAUACUCUCAGGAAAUAUUUUAAAGAAAGACACCAAAGAAAUAAACACUUUUGGUCUGAUCGGAAUAUUAUUAUAACCAAUGAUAAGACCUAAGUGGUACAUUACUAGGGCUGAAUAUCAAACUACUUUUAAUGUUAUGUUUUAUGCUUCAAAAUGUUACAGUUCCAUUUUGUAAAGGUUGUCAAAGUAUAUGAAUUGUAGCAGUGACCAAUAUAUUACAUUGGUGAAUUUGCCACAUCAUUAUAUGCGUAUAUUCGUUUUUGUAGGCAGGAAGGCUUACCCAUAAAUCCUGUUUUGAAAAUUUGUAAACUUGUGCCAAAAAUUUUGAUACGUUAAAUAUUAUAGUAUUUAUCCUUUUUAUGGAGUGCAAUAUGACGAUACCAUUAAAAGGAGCAAAAUUGAAUCCAAUUUCAUUGUCCAUAUUUUUACUAGACUGAUAUGCUUAAUGUCCUUUAUAGUUCAAUUCAAAUAACCCCUUUUUACUUAUAAAUGCUUAAAUAACGGAAAUAUCUGAUCGUCAACAGACGCAUGUUUGUUACUUAAACGUUCUGCAAAUUUUAUGUUCACCCGUUGGUGUUAUUUAAACAUACAUUAUGUAAGAUUUAGAUAAAGAGUUGACCGUUCUUGUUAUAAUAGUUUUUAAAAGAUAAUGAAAACUGAAUAUAUUGAAAAUUCCAUUCAAAGUAUCACUGAUUGAAUUAUUAUUAUUGUAGCAAUGGUACUUGACAACCAAGGCUCGGUCUUGAAUUACCAUUUUUAAAUUUAAUUAUUAACUGGCGACCGUAUUCAAUCCUUUUAAAUCUCAGUCAUCCGAUGUGCUAGAGAGUUGAUUGUAUAGGCUUAUUAAGUGAAUAUUAAUAUAAUAUUUGAAGUCAAAAUAAAAACUUUCAAUAGGCAGAUUUAGCUGUAACAUAAUGCAUCUCUCAGAAAUAUUUGAAAACACACAUCAUUCAUUUUACAUUAUGCAUAACGAGAAACUUUUCAAAUGAUUUCUUCUCCAUUAGUAAUGCUAGUCUAUGCAUUGGUGAAAUUUAUAAAAUUUUACGUUAAUUUCAAUGUUUACACGCGUGUCUUUUUUGUAUUUUAUUUUAUAUGUGUAUUUAAUUUAUGUACCAUAUUUUGUAAAACGCACAUGAACAAGUACAUUAUUCACCGCAUCUUAUAUGUGUGAAAAUAUUUCCUUCCAAAGUAUGAGGUAAUUUAAACUUUUCCAUUAUCAUUAUCUCUUAAUUUUUAAAUGUUUUAAGAUAACUUUAAACCUCUUUAUUUAUUAAUUAUAUAAGAUUGAAAUAGAUUCUUCCAAUGAAAGGUUUAUAUUAUCAUUUUAAUAUUAAUAUAUGUUUUGAAUAUAUUUUUUUAAAUCCCACUAUUUAUUACGAUCUGUUA